rnacentral:rRNA from 1 species
GAUGAACGCUGGCUACAGGCUUAACACAUGCAAGUCGAGGGGAAACGACGGGGAAGCUUGCUUCCCCGGGCGUCGACCGGCGCACGAGUGAGUAACGCGUAUCCAACCUGCCUCUGACUGAGGGAUAACCCGUCGAAAGUCGGCCUAAUACCUCAUGGCAUCGUCUGCGGGCAUCCAACGACGAUUAAAGAUUUCAUCGGUCAGAGAUGGGGAUGCGUCUGAUUAGCUUGUUGGCGGGGUAACGGCCCACCAAGGCGACGAUCAGUAGGGGUUCUGAGAGGAAGGUCCCCCACAUUGGAACUGAGACACGGUCCAAACUCCUACGGGAGGCAGCAGUGAGGAAUAUUGGUCAAUGGGCGAGAGCCUGAACCAGCCAAGUAGCGUGCAGGAUGACGGCCCUAUGGGUUGUAAACUGCUUUUAUGCGGGGAUAAAGUGAGGGACGUGUCCUUCAUUGCAGGUACCGCAUGAAUAAGGACCGGCUAAUUCCGUG